AUUGAACGCUGGCGGCAUGCCUUACACAUGCAAGUCGAACGGUAACAGGUCUUCGGAUGCUGACGAGUGGCGAACGGGUGAGUAAUACAUCGGAACGUGCCCGAUCGUGGGGGAUAACGCAGCGAAAGCUGUGCUAAUACCGCAUACGAUCUACGGAUGAAAGCGGGGGAUCGCAAGACCUCGCGCGGACGGAGCGGCCGAUGGCAGAUUAGGUAGUUGGUGGGAUAAAAGCUUACCAAGCCGACGAUCUGUAGCUGGUCUGAGAGGACGACCAGCCACACUGGGACUGGGACACGGCCCAGACUCCUACGGGAGGCAGCAGUGGGGAAUUUUGGACAAUGGGCGCAAGCCUGAUCCAGCCAUGCCGCGUGCAGGAUGAAGGCCUUCGGGUUGUAAACUGCUUUUGUACGGAACGAAAAGACUCUUUCCAAUAAAGAGGGUCCAUGACGGUACCGUAAGAAUAAGCACCGGCUAACUACGUG
rnacentral:rRNA from 1 species